AAGGCUUGUAAAACUCUAAUUUACAUCUCCUGAAUGCAACUCAGAC
rnacentral:tRNA from 1 species